GGAGAGGUGGCCGAGCGGUUGAAGGCGCUCCCCUGCUAAGGGAGUAUGGGCAGCCCCCAUCGAGGGUUCGAAUCCCUCCCUCUCCGCCA
rnacentral:tRNA from 1 species